rnacentral:tRNA from 1 species
GGGGAUGUGACUCAGUGGUAGAGGGCUUGCCUAGCAUGCAUGAAGCCCUUAGUUCAAUCACCAUCACUG